UCGGGGGGGGGGCCUAAUACAUGCCAAGUCGAACGAGUUCUGAUUAUUGAAAGGUGCUUGCAUCUUGAUUUAAUUUUGAACGAGUGGCGGACGGGUGAGUAACACGUGGGUAACCUGCCCUUAAGUGGGGGAUAACAUUUGGAAACAGAUGCUAAUACCGCAUAAAUCCAAGAACCGCAUGGUUCUUGGCUGAAAGAUGGCGUAAGCUAUCGCUUUUGGAUGGACCCGCGGCGUAUUAGCUAGUUGGUGAGGUAACGGCUCACCAAGGCAAUGAUACGUAGCCGAACUGAGAGGUUGAUCGGCCACAUUGGGACUGAGACACGGCCCAAACUCCUACGGGAGGCAGCAGUAGGGAAUCUUCCACAAUGGACGCAAGUCUGAUGGAGCAACGCCGCGUGAGUGAAGAAGGCUUUCGGGUCGUAAAACUCUGUUGUUGGAGAAGAAUGGUCGGCAGAGUAACUGUUGUCGGCGUGACGGUAUCCAACCAGAAAGCCACGGCUAACUACGUGCCAGCAGCCGCGGUAAUACGUAGGUGGCAAGCGUUAUCCGGAUUUAUUGGGCGUAAAGCGAGCGCAGGCGGUUUUUUAAGUCUGAUGUGAAAGCCCUCGGCUUAACCGAGGAAGUGCAUCGGAAACUGGGAAACUUGAGUGCAGAAGAGGACAGUGGAACUCCAUGUGUAGCGGUGAAAUGCGUAGAUAUAUGGAAGAACACCAGUGGCGAAGGCGGCUGUCUGGUCUGUAACUGACGCUGAGGCUCGAAAGCAUGGGUAGCGAACAGGAUUAGAUACCCUGGUAGUCCAUGCCGUAAACGAUGAAUGCUAGGUGUUGGAGGGUUUCCGCCCUUCAGUGCCGCAGCUAACGCAUUAAGCAUUCCGCCUGGGGAGUACGACCGCAAGGUUGAAACUCAAAGGAAUUGACGGGGGCCCGCACAAGCGGUGGAGCAUGUGGUUUAAUUCGAAGCAACGCGAAGAACCUUACCAGGUCUUGACAUCUUUUGAUCACCUGAGAGAUCAGGUUUCCCCUUCGGGGGCAAAAUGACAGGUGGUGCAUGGUUGUCGUCAGCUCGUGUCGUGAGAUGUUGGGUUAAGUCCCGCAACGAGCGCAACCCUUAUGACUAGUUGCCAGCAUUUAGUUGGGCACUCUAGUAAGACUGCCGGUGACAAACCGGAGGAAGGUGGGGAUGACGUCAAAUCAUCAUGCCCCUUAUGACCUGGGCUACACACGUGCUACAAUGGAUGGUACAACGAGUUGCGAGACCGCGAGGUCAAGCUAAUCUCUUAAAGCCAUUCUCAGUUCGGACUGUAGGCUGCAACUCGCCUACACGAAGUCGGAAUCGCUAGUAAUCGCGGAUCAGCACGCCGCGGUGAAUACGUUCCCGGGCCUUGUACACACCGCCCGUCACACCAUGAGAGUUUGUAACACCCGAAGCCGGUGGCGUAACCCUUUUAGGGAGCGAGCCGUCUAAGGGUGGUCCAAAA
rnacentral:rRNA from 1 species